ACACCAUUGUUCUCUCCUUAAAAAAACAGGAAAUGUUGGAGAAACAGGCACAGACAAACCAGAGUAGCAGACUUACACACAGCCCUGAUCAAGUAAUCACACCGGCUCAGCAGAAUGGUCAGAGAACUGAACCUCAGGAGAGACAAACAGCUACACCACAACUGCAGUUUAUACAGGAUGGCUCUUGGAGCUGUAAGUCUAAAGACAGACAAGAAGAUUUGAAGAAAACUGCCUCACUGGAUCGUAAACAGAGUCCACCUCAGAGCCAGACCACAAGGAUGAGGAGGACUGGGUCGUGUGAAAAUGUUUUAGGGACACACCCAUCAAAAUCACCCACACCAUCACAAGACACGCCACCUCCAUCACCCAGCAGGUAUGAGCCUUCCCUCCAACACAUACUCAAUCACAUGGAGAUACAUGUGUGUGUGUGUAUGUGGAGCAUAUUAGUAAUCACCCAGACACAGUGAUUGUGUCAUGCUGCUAAACUGGUCUGUAAGAUUUCUUGCAUUUAAUUUAAAUGCAAAAGUAUUCGUUUAAAGGAACAAUUCGCCCAAAAAUGAACAUUUGCUGAAAAUGUACUCAUCCUCAGGCCAUCCGAGACGUAGAUGAGUUUGUUUCUUCAUUGGAACAGAUUUAGAGAGAUGUAGCACUGCAUCACUUGCUCACCAAUGAAUCCUCUGCUGUGAAUGGGUGCCGUCAGAAUGAGUCAAACAGCUGAUAAAAACACCACCAUAAUGUACAAGUAAUCCACUCUUCGAUCCUUCAAUUAGGACCUUGUGAAGUGAAAACCUAUGUGUUUGUAAUAAAUUCAUCAUUAAGGCAUUUAAACUUUAAACCACUGCUUCUGACCAAAAUACAUCCAAAAGCCAUAAUAACAAAUAAAGCAUAAUUUUUAAUUUUGGGUGAAUUUGAGUUUAAUGCAUCCAUUUGAAAUUUAGGUUCAGCAUAUGAUGAUCCAAGUUGUGCCACCAUGAUGAUAAGGCAUAAUCAUUGCUUUCAUUUCAGUAGUUACAUAAUCAUGCUAAAUGCUUUGCGCACAAUCCUAUUUAUUUAAGUUUUCAUGCCUGUAUUGCAUUUGUUACCUCUUUAAAGUCUUUUUUUUUAUUAUU